rnacentral:lncRNA from 1 species
AUAGCUAUAGUUUUCAUACACACACCUGGUUAAAAGCCACAGUGAGAGGUGUAAUUAUUUGUGAAGAAAAUUUAAUAGCUUUCUUCUAAUGUUCCCAUUGGAAGUGGAUCAUUCCCUUAAUAAGUUAUCUGUAAAGAAUACUUCUGGAUCUACUUACCUACAGUAGAAGUUUUUUUAAAAAAAAUUUAACAUCUACCGAGAAGAAGCAAGCACAUGUGAGAAUUCACACAAGUUACAGAGACUGUACAGCCCAAAAUCAACAAAAAUGUAAAACAGCUUUAAGACUUCCAUUUGCUAAAUAAUCUAUUAUAGAAGUUCUACAUUAAAAAACUGCUUAUAGAAGUAACUUUACAAAAGAGAAGUGCACAAACCUCAUGUAGCCACAACCAUUUCUCUCUUUAUGGUGUGGAGAGCCUCUGCAUAAGAAAUAAAUUUCAAUAGAUUUCAGGGCAGAAUUGGAGCCAAUAAAAGAUAAACACAAGAUUCAAUUAGCAGUGAAACCCAAAAUAUUGAAACAGGGAAAGUUACUAAUUAAGAAAGAGCACACAUUCACUCGUCAAGAUGAAAAGAAAAGCAUAAAAUUACCUCAUAAGUGUGUUCUUUGGUAAUUUACUUGUGUACUGUUGCUCAUAUCUGCUUCACUGGCUUCCAAAAAUAUUAAAUAAAACAGCGCUAAUUUAGUUUGAGAGAACGAAAGGAGAUCAAUUAUGCUUUUACCUCGACAUAUACCGAAACAGAUGUAGGGCCAUACUUCAGCUGCAAUAGAUUUUCCUCUGUUAUAUGACUUAUGUCAUUGAGUUCUUUGUCGGUGUAGCUUGAACAGAAAUACCACUGAGAUAAUAAAUAUGGAAAAAAUGAGUGUAUUGGUUGUGAAUAAUUACCAAUUGGAGAUCCACUGAGAUUGAGGGAGAAGAAUCAGAGUGUUUUAUGAAGAAGCAUGUUUGGGCAAAAGAUUCUUCUCGUCAAGGUCGUUGGGGACUGUAAUAGAGAGUCUCUGUCUUCCUCUGUUUUCAUACCGUCAAUCAGCUUAUGAGGAUUCGAGGUGCUAAAGCCGCCAUUGUUCUUGGGUUUAAGAUCGAGAUUGGGUGAUUCAGAGGAGAAAAAUG